CAUUCUGCAGUGUUUGCAGUGCUGUUCAAGAAAUUGCAAGUAGGAAGUAAAAAAAGUUGAAAUUUAUGAUGAAUUUAGACACCCUUAGCUAUAUAAGAUAGAUUUUUCCACAGAAGAUCUGAUGGACACUAGACCAUUCUGUUUUAUCGUGAACAUGAACAUCGAGAUCCAACAUUUGACAAAACCAGAAUUUUGACUGAUAAGUUAAAAUGUGGUAAAAAUUUAUUGUUUUGAAAAUAUGAAUUGAUAUGGUUUUAGCAUAGAAGUGGUCAAUUUUCCUUGUGAGCAUCGCAGAGUUAAAGAUAUUAACAAUUUUAGCAAAUUUUCAAUGAUUUUCCAUGGAACUUUUAUUCUGUUAGGUUUUUUUCUUGUUAAAAUUUUAUACGGUUAAGGAGAAGUGAACAGAAAUAAAUGACAAAUUAAUCUAAAUCUUUAAUUUUUUAAUAAAGUUCUAUAUCACUGUAUUUUACGAAACCCAAAUUGAUUGAUAGUUGAACGCAGCUGCAACAUUUUGUGUGUUUUUUUCUUUAAACCUUUUCUUUUUACUUUAAAUAAUUUUAUGUUUGUUUCUUGAUCUACUUUCCUAACUGCUUAUUUUUUUUUUUUUUACUAAAAAUUCACAAAGUGAUAAAGAUUACGAAAAUCACAAUAGUAAUGUCUUUAAAUGUGCUGUUGUACAUUAAAGACUUUUGAUGUACCGUUCAUGAUAGAUUGCGAUGUUCACAAUUCUCAAAGAUGUUGUAAUUAUGAUGACAUGCGUCUCCAGGUGUUGAGUUACUUCACAUCCAGCUCUUUUAUUCUUUAUAUACUCAGGGACAUUUGGCCUUGUCUUUGGCAUGCAAGAGAUCCGUCAAAUCAAGGACACUAGCUAACGUGUUGUGUUUGCAUAUUUUUUUUGUCCCGCAAGCAUUGUGAGAGCUCCUUGUAGAGGCUCUCGCAAAGACAGUGUUGUGUCUCGCCUUGGACUAGAUGAAAUAAGGCGAAAGGGGUCUCUGUCUAAGGUUGAACUCCAACUGUAUAAGCUAAAGCUUUGAAUCUCGGGAAGAUUUCUUGUACGUCAUAUUUGUUCUGAGAUCCAUUUCAUAAUAAUAAGAAAAUGUUAUGCGUGUUUAGAUGUUUAGCCUUCAUUACCCAUUCACAAGCCAUAGUACUGAGAAAUUUAAAUCUAACUUUUUA